rnacentral:rRNA from 1 species
AACGAACGCUGGCGGCAUGCCUAACACAUGCAAGUCGAACGAGACCUUCGGGUCUAGUGGCGCACGGGUGCGUAACGCGUGGGAAUCUGCCCUUGGGUUCGGAAUAACAGUUGGAAACGACUGCUAAUACCGGAUGAUGACGUAAGUCCAAAGAUUUAUCGCCCAGGGAUGAGCCCGCGUAGGAUUAGCUAGUUGGUGGGGUAAAGGCCUACCAAGGCGACGAUCCUUAGCUGGUCUGAGAGGAUGAUCAGCCACACUGGGACUGAGACACGGCCCAGACUCCUACGGGAGGCAGCAGUGGGGAAUAUUGGACCAUGGGCGAAAGCCUGAUCCCGCCAUGCCGCGUGAGUGAUGAAGGCCUUAGGGUUGUAAAGCCCUUUUACCCGGGAUGAUAAUGACAGUACCGGGAGAAUAAGCCCCGGCUAACUCCGUG